rnacentral:miRNA from 1 species
CCUCCAGCUAUUUUGGGACUACAAUUCCCAUCAUCCCUGACCACUGUUCCUGUUAGAUGAUGGGAGUUGUAGUCCCAAAACAGCUGGAGG